AUUGAACGCUGGCGGCAUGCUUUACACAUGCAAGUCGAACGGCAGCGCGGGGGCAACCCUGGCGGCGAGUGGCGAACGGGUGAGUAAUGCAUCGGAACGUAUCCUGUAAUGGGGGAUAACGUAGCGAAAGUUACGCUAAUACCGCAUACGCUCGAGAGAGGAAAGUGGGGGAUCGCAAGACCUCACGUUAUAGGAGCGGCCGAUGUCCGGUUAGCUAGUUGGUGGGGUAAAGGCCUACCAAGGCGACGAUCGGUAGCUGGUCUGAGAGGAUGAUCAGCCACACUGGGACUGAGACACGGCCCAGACUCCUACGGGAGGCAGCAGUGGGGAAUCUUGCGCAAUGGGCGAAAGCCUGACGCAGCGACGCCGCGUGGGUGAUGAAGGCCUCGGUUGUAAGACCUGUGGGAGGGACGGAAGUAAGUACAUGGCUAAUAUCCAUGGUGA
rnacentral:rRNA from 1 species